rnacentral:lncRNA from 1 species
AGUCUGAAGCAGUGAACCUAAUGAGGAACUAGGGGCAGGAUUAGCGCCCUGAGAUUAAGGCGAAGGAUGGCGGAAAGUCUGGCUAGCUAGGACUCCACCUCAGAAGAGCCCGCAGUCUUUGAGGUUCUCCUUGAUGAUAAUGUCGGUGACAGCGUCAAAGACAAACUUGACGUUCUGUGUGUCGGUAGCGCACGUCAUGUGGGAAUAGAUCUCCUUCACAUCACGUCGCAUGUUAAGCUCCAGGAACUGCACUUUGAUGUAGUUGCCGGCAUCCUCGUAAGUGUUAGGUCCUGCGGCAGAAGAGCAGCAUUCGCUCUGCGCGGGAAGACCUUCUCCCGCGGGAAGGCGCGCGCGGCGGGAAUCGUGGGACUGGGGCACCGCCUGGCGGCCGGGCCUAGGGAUCUCACCAUCGUAGUCGGGGAAGCAGAUGCUGAGGUGUGCCUUUUUUAUCUUCUCGGAGAAAACGUCCUUCUUGUUGAGGAAGAGCACGAUAGACGUUGUGGCGAAGUAGCGAUGAUUGCAGAUGCUGUUGAACAGGUGCAGGCUCUCGUGCAUUCGGUUCUGGGGAGGGGAGCGGCUGUUGGGCAUCAGGCUACGCAAGCAGCUGCCCCUGGGUCUCUGCCCUCCCGACACCAACGGCUCCCAGACAGCUUCUGUUCCGUGAGUCUCACUGGCUCCCACCCCGCCCUCGUCCGCCCCCCUCCCCAGGGCUCCACCUCCCUUCUCAAACACUCAGGUCCCACUUGGCACUCACCACUUCGUCGUCCUCCACCAGCACCAUGUCGUAAGCGCUCAGCGCAGCGAUGAAAAUGAUGCACGUCACACCCUCAAAGCAGUGGAUCCACUUUUUGCGCUCGGAACGCUGCCCGCCCACAUCGAACAUUCUGUCGGGUAGAGCCGGGUCCGGAUUUAGAUCGGUGUGUCUGGUCGGUCACCUGGAUAUGCCCACUGCCCCCCAACCCCACCCCCGUCCUCCUAAGCUAGCUGGAGAGCCCUCAUCUCGCUUGGCAUCUGAAAUGACCAGCCUUUCUCCUGGCAAGGACCUUCACUCAAGACACUGACGUCCCAGUGAGUCCAGCUGUGCUCCUAGCGCAGGGGCCUUACCUGAAGUUGAGGUCCUUGAAGGAGAAUUGAGUCUCGAUAAUACCAGUGGUUUUGACACGAGAACGCAACACGUCCUGCUCAGUGGGCACAUAUCCUGGAGUCACCAGACGCUCUAGGUCUGAGAGAUAGCUGAAGAAGACCACCCGGUCCGAGUGGGUGAGUGGCGUGGGCGAUCACACCCGCGGGGUCCUGCCUACUCACCUCCCCUGCCCUCCUGCAUCUACAUGUGUACUCACUAGCCGGCGGAGUCAUUGAGCUGGUAUUCUGAGGCUCGGUCAAAGCAAGCUUGGAUACCCGAGUCCUUCCACAAGCGCUGAAUGAUGUCUGACAUCUCCUUGGGCAUUGUGCCUUCCUCAAUAGUAUCUGCCAUGUGCAUGAGCUUCCGGGCAUCAUCCUAGUGGUGGGGCAGGGUAGUGGUUGUGAAUCUGAGCCUAGCUAGGUGCCAUGAGCCUAACCAUCAUCAGCCUGCCUCCUGCCUCACCUGCCGGGCUGAAUCUCCAUACUGAAUGUUGAGCGUGGUCAUAGCCCGAACGAUGGCCAGGAUGGACUGCAGAGUGUUGCCGUAGAUGAUGGCAAUGAACUCGAGGCAUUCCUCCAGCGAAUACCCGUCCUGGUGGAUAAUCCUGUAGCCAAGACCAGCAAAGUUAGAGCCACCUGGGCAAGUAGGGAAGGACAGGUUCUGAUGUGCAUGCACCCACCCACCACUAGGGGGCCUUAGGAUGGGCAGGGAACACUCACUUCAUCUGUUUGACAAUAGUGCUCUUCCCGGAUUCACCGGCACCUGAAAGGAAAGCUGUGCUUCAGAGCCGCACUUCUUUUGGAUCAGAGCCCUGGGGUGCCAACUAGACCUCUAGAUAGUCAAAGUAUCAUCAUUGCCCUCAUCUCUAUUCAAAGUAAAGUCUUUAAGACCCCUGAAGAAAGCCGGGCGUGGUGGCGCACGCCUUUAAUCCCAGCACUUGGAAGGCAGAGGCAGGCGAAUUUCUGAGUUCGAGGUUUACAGAGUGAGUUCCAGGACAGCCAGGGCUAUAACAGAGAAACCCUGUCUCGAAGAAAAAAAAAAAAAACCUGAAGAAAAAUGGCUGUAAGUGACAAAAGGGACCUACAUCAGUUAAGGGACCUCAACUGUGUCCAGUGGGAAGGAGGAGGCGUCCCAAAACUCUGUUGUGUAAAGAAAGUCGGGCUGGUGAGAUGGCUCAGUGGGUAAGAGCACCCGACUGCUCUUCCGAAGGUCCAGAGUUCAAAAUCCCAGCAACCACAUGGUGGCUCACAACCAUCUGUAACAAGAUCUGACUCCCUCUUCUGGUGUGUCUGAAGACAGCUACAGUGUAGUUACAUAUAAUAAUAAAUAAAUCUUUAAAAAAAAAAAAAAAAAA